rnacentral:lncRNA from 1 species
CUAAUAAGAUACAUAAGAAAUACACAAAGUUGAAAGAGAUCAUAUGAGCAGAAACACCUAUAGCUUGGCUCAAAAGUUCAGAGAUAGUGAAAAAUUAAAAGACAUCUUUGGACCACCAAAGUAUCACAGUCAGAAAACAAGAUGAGAAAUCAUCUCACUUGCAAACACGGGGCAUUUCAUAAUAAGCCAAUUUCGAAGUAGAUCUUGUAGCCCUGGUAAAACGUUUAGAGAACUGCAUUCCAGCAGACAACUGACUGCAGCCUCACGAAAGACCCAUACAACUAAGUUGCUCUAAAUUUCUGACAUGCGUGGAACUGUGAGAUUAGCUGCAUAACAACCCCCUCUUAAUUUAAUGGCUUAAAACAGUACUAAUCAUCAAUUAUGUUCCAUGGUGUGCAUGUAUCAGGAAUUCAGGAGUGGUUUGUUCAGGCAAGGUCUUUCAUGAGGUUGCGUUAUUGUUACUUUAAGCCACUAAGUUUAUAAUUUAUUAUACAACAACAGAUAAUCGAUAUAGCAGGCAAGAGAUUAAUAUCUUGUGGACCUACAGAUUGCAUAUUUUCAUCCAGUGAGAACUUUCCUGUUCUUGCAAGGCCUCUGCCCCCCAUCACAAAGGUGCUAGCAAGUGAUGUAUAGAAUAAGCUAGAAAGGAAAAGGAAGCAGAACACUCCCACCCCACAAUCUUCCCUCGAUGCAGGUAGACACCUACCUUGAGCAAGACAAAACUAUGUGUGUGAGCGUGCGCGUGUGUGUGUAUCAUUGGACUUAACACAAAAAGAAAACUACAAAUACAAGUGGGAGAAUGAUCUCACAACUUUGAUAUAUCCACGAAAUGCUAAAUGUGAAAUUAAAUAUUUGGUUAAUAUUUGCUUGGGAAAUAUCUUUAAAUGGAAAUUCUACUAGUUUUCAAUUCUAAACGUUCAUCUUCUAAAAAAUCAUUUAAUAUUCUGACUUACAUCCACAGAAGAAAAAAUGUAAAAAAUAAUGUCCAAUGAUCUACCUAAAACCCUGUGUUCUAAAGUAUUGAAUUUGUUCUACAUUAAGACCUCAAUGAUUUGGGCCAGCAGAACCAUAGACCCGGGCUAGGUUGAGUUGCUCUAAUCUGGUGUCUGCUGUCUUUUACAUUUUGUUUUUGUUUCUUAUUGUCUGUCCAGUCCAGGGUUCAGAACUCACUGAUGAAGAAACCUUAGAAAUGAAUGCAAUGCCUUAGCGACAGGGAAGUACUGGGGGCAACUUCGUGGGGAUGCUCUUGGAAAUGAAACAGGCUUAUCCUAGAGGCUGGACAUAAAAAAAAAAUUGUCAACAUUUUCCUCUUUCUUAUAAUUUGUUUAGUCUAGAAUUUAAAUGAAAUCUGUGUCAUGGAUUACUCAAAGAACAUCUUAUAAAGAAGGCCAAUAUAUAAAAGAGAUAAAGCUCAGUCAGCUUGGCUGGGACAGGCAGAGGACGGCAGUUUUGGGGGUGCCCUAGAGUGCAUGGUGGGAGCGGCCCUGAUUUAUUUGGUUAUUAGUGCUUGUUUGCAUCAUUCUCUGCAUUUCAUAUUAUAACUAAUUUGGUAAAUGCUUAUCUAGUAAAUUACUACAGUCCUGAUACAAAGAUAGGACCUUCAAAAUGAAUAAAGAAAACAACAACAGUAACAACAACAACAACACAGAUAAAGCAAUCUACAGUAAAGAGGAAACAAUUAGAGUCAAUUUCAUAACAUCAAUGGAUUUUCCUUUGAAGGAAUCUACUGAUUCAGGAGGUCAUCUGGAUUAUACCAGCUGGCUAAAGUAGAAAGACUAGAGAAACGCUAAAACCCAACAAUGACAACAAAAAUCUAAGGAGUAUAGUUGAUUGAUUUAAAAAUAAAUGAAGCGAGUACAUAAAGUAUUCAUUAAAUAACCAAAACAGUCAAGGAUAAAGGAGGUUUUCAAGUGGUGGCAUCUUAGGACUUUAUGAGGAUACAGAGUAAACAAUUCCUUUACUUUCAGAUUUCUGUUACAUGAUUCCAAAUAUUUAUAUAUGUGAUUUUCAGACUACUCAUAUGGUUGGCUUAUAUUUUUAUUGUUUCAUUUUGAAAUUUGGUAUGUGAUUGAUUCAGCUCAAAACUAUAGUCAAGAAGGCCCUCUGUGUAAACUUUGUAUAUUCACAUGAAAUCCUUGCUUAAACCUUUCAAUGACUUUAACUGUCUUUAAGACAUGAGCACAGAGGCCAUCAAAUGCCUGGGACAGAAUUAAUUAUCAAUCUGUUAGCAAGAAGGUAGAAAAAUAUGGGAAAAUAUUUAAUAUGUAAUUAGAGCUUGGAGACAACUAGGUUUGAAAUGAAUAAAGUGAAGACUGUGAAAAUGGCUUACCAGUUAUUAUUACUCCUCAGUGCUAUGAAUUAUACUCUUGGUUGCUAUGAUGUGGCAUGCUGUUGGCUUGCCAUUUUUUAUUGCCCAGAAGUAACUGGCAGUUGUUAUUUCUCUUGGACGAAAAUAUGAGUUGAAUUCAAGAAGUCACAUUGGUCCACGGAAAAACUAAAUUUUUCUCAUUGUAAUGAUGAUAGCAUGCAAAGUACUAUUCAUAUGACUAAAGUCUUAGGUUGCAGGAAUGAUUUUUAAAUAUUAUUUCUUAUGCUAUUAAUCUAUUCAAUUCUAAUCUAUCAUUCUUAUGUGUUCAUUUUUUCCCGUAUUUCUUUUGGUUUUAUGAAUUCUGCUCCAGAUACUUAAUUAACCAGAUUACUACAAACUAAACACAAGGGAGAAAAACAAGUUUGCCAGCCCCCAAAAUUAUUUAAGUAUCAUGUGUUCAGAGCUAAGUAUUAUAUAUAUCAAGAUACAAGUUAUUCUCGACAGAAUGAAAUUCUAAGAUUCAAAGUGGAAAGAUGUAUAUGAGGAGGUGACCGUGAAGAUGGAAUAACCCAUCACAGACAAGACUGUCUUGAGUUAACAUGUAAAUGGAUUGGAAACAGACGUCAGUAUCUGAAAACAACAAGAAAUUAGAGAAUUUUGAAUUUAUUUUAAAUAUAAAAGUAAAUGGCCGUGGAAAUAUUUCUGUUUUUCAAAGUCCAAAAUUAAUGAAUUGCACACUUAUUUAUUAUUUCAAAAUCCAGACUAGGUGAAUGAAAUCCUCUGUGCUUUUAAAUCACAGAAUUCUAGGAAAUAUCACAUUAUAAUAAUCACUGAACAAUUUCCUUUUUAGAAAUAUUUUUUCCAGCUCUCUGGUGACUCAGUUCUUCCUUAAAAAGCUAUAAAUUUUGCCUAUUUUUCUUUCUAAUAAACAAUGAGGAUCUUACCAACAGAAGCAAAUCUUUCUUUAAAAAUCCACAUACUUUAAUGUGAUUGCUUUGACAUGGCAAAAUGAAAUUGCCAUAUUCAAAAGCAAGACAUCAAAAGACAUUCUUUUCUAAGACUAUUACAUUUGUGUUUAAAUGUUUUAAUUAAAAACUGUAUUAAUUCAAAUUUUUUGAUGUUUCUGAAGAAGUUGUCUAAACUUCCCUUAAAAAUUCCAUGUAUAUCGUUUUUUCCUUUA